AUGCGUAUUUAGGGCUUAACAGGUUUUGUUCAUAAAGCCUUAGUGCAUAUAUUUGUUGGUUUGACUGUUUUCUCUUAUACUUUGUGUUUUCUCAUCUCACCAUGCAUGUAUUGAUGGACCUGUACUUUUUUCUAUUUUGGAAAGACACUCGUGAUGGUGACGCCUGCCCAGAUGAGGAGGAAUGAAGAACCUCGAGCCUGAUGGGUUCCCCGCGAUGCUCUUCUACCCAGCUCGGAAGAAAAUCUUUGAGCGUGUUUGUUCUUAAAUAUAGUAUUUCACAUCCUAUUUAGGGAUAACUUUUGACAGGGACCGGCUGGUAGUGGAGAUAUCAAGUUCAUCAAGAGGCAUG